UCGUUACGCGUUUCUGGUUCUGCUCGCAUUCUUCUCUCUUCUCCUCUCUCGCCAUGGCGUCUGGCGAUAUCGUCGUCUUCCCGAUUGAGAGCGUUCUCCGUCGGCCCUUCUUCUCCCUUUUUUAUUUGCCGUUUCUCGAUUGAUUGAUUGUUGAUGGGGGUCCAAUCGCUAUCUCUCGGUCUUGAUUUUGUGGAAGCAUCAUCUGGUUGCAGUGACCCCACCCCUGUUGCGCCGAGAUUCUCGAGGGUUUCGCUUGCCCUACGAUCUCUGUCGGCGUCUGGCGGUAUCGUCGUCUUCCAGAGAGGAGGAGAAGUAGCGAUGGUCCCGAUUUGACUGAUGACAGGGGGAUCGAUUGCUUUCUCGGUCUGAUUUUGUGAAGCGUCCAUCUGGUUGCAGAGAACUCAAUGUUGCGGAGAUUUUUGAGGGUCUGGCUCGGCCUACCUUUGCCUAUUGGUUAUCGGAUUUCUUUGGUUUGCGCCUCGUCCCUUUGAUCGCUUAGCGAUUCAUUGACCGAUCGAUUGAUCUUUGCAUUAUGCGUCCUUGUUUUGACCACCUCAUUCUGGAUUCUUGUUGUUCGGUGGAUGGGCAGUGCGCGGCCUCUUUCCUUCCUCUUGGAUCAUAUCUCUUGAGGAUGCCGUGAUGCCGUAAUGGGAGUGUUUGGUUUAGCUUCUCCUUUGACCCUUUAUUAAUACAAUGACCUAUCGAUUCUUCUGUACAAUUGUUUCACGAGCUGCUUCUGGAUUUUGUUAGGCUCCUUUCCCCUUGGAGCGAAAUUGUUUGUCUGAGGAUAUCAAGGACGAUCAAUACUACGGUGACACCGGUCAGCUUGUUCAUAAGACACGGAUGUUUGGGCUUUUUGGAAGACCGAUGAUCCUUUUGCUGCUUCUUUUUUCUUGGUUGAGAUGAUGAAAGUAGUCUUUCAGUCGAUAGGCUGAAAUUUGAUGGUCUCGAUUAGAACUUGUUCUUUGGUUUCUUUUAUCAUUUGGGGGUUGAUUAUCAUCUAGUCCUGAUCCUCUCACAGGUUGGAGUUUUGCUAGACUUGACAAGUGGUGAUCUGCUGUGAGCUGAUGAUUGUCUGAAAUUGGAUAAGCUCUCUAUCGUCUCUCGAGGCAGUUAUCGGUUUGAAUAAAUUUGUUCUCCAAUCCCCUAAUUUUCCGAUUAAUGCAGAACCCGAUUCUCGUUCCUCCGGAGGUCAGCGUUUGGUUGAUGUAUGAUUUGUGAUGGUUCUUUCUUUGCAAGGUGUAUUCGGCACAACAGAUCAUUAUGCAAUCUGGAUCCGCUUGCCGGUGUCUACUCCCUAAAAAUAGUCCCUCCCUCAUGUCCUCAUCCUUCAGUCUGAUCAGGAAACAUCGUUAUGGGAAGUGUUUGGUUUAGCUCCUCCUCUGAUCCUUUAAAGAACCCACUUUCUGUACAAUUUUUUUAUAAUCUGCUUCUAGAUUUUGGUAUUUGGUGAAUUUGCAGUGGUUUCUUUCCCCCUUGGAGUGAACUAUUUUUCUGAGGAUGGUAAGAACAAAUGAAUACCAUGACAUCGGUCAGUUUGUUUCAUAAAACUAGAUGUCGGGCUUUUUGGAGAAUGAUGAUCUUUUUGCUGUCUCUUUUCAGUUGAGAUGAUGAACCAGUAGUCUUUCAGGCGGGGCUGAAAUUUGCUGGUCUUGAUUGGAACUUGUUCUUCGGUUUUUUUUUUUUAACUUUUGGGGUUGAUUAUCGUCUAGCCCGGAUUCUCUCACAGGUCGGAGUUUUGCUAGACUUGACAAGUAGUGAUCUGCUGCGAGGUGAUGAUUGUCUCAGAUUGGAUAAGCUCUAUCGUCUCUCGAGGCAGUUAUCGGUUUGAAUGGAAAUUUGUUCUCCAAUCCCUUAAUUUUCCGAUUAAUGCAAUACCCAAUUCUCAUUCCUCUGGAGGUCAGCGUUUGGUUGACGUAUGAUCUGUGAUGGUUCUUUCUUUGCAAGGUGUAUGCAGCACAACAGAUCAUUAUCCAAUCCAGAUCCGCUUGCCAGUGUCUCCUUCCUAGAAAUUGUCCCUCUCUCUUGUCCUCAUCCUUCAGGCUCAUAAUGCGUCUAUGAUUGUGCAUGCAUUCCUCACUGAGCCGACACCCUUUCUGAACUACUCUUCAGAGGAGACAUUGUUCCGGAUCUUUUUUUUCUUUAUAUUUCUUGAUUGAUUUUAAAAAUCAGUCUGAUUUUGUUAACGCAAUGUUAUUUUCCAAAGGUUACAACUGGCCUUUCUGGGACUCUGGCAUGUUGUGGGCAUCAUUAGGGUCUGUGCUCCUCUGAUCGCUGAUCGAUUCAUCAUCAAUUGAUCUUUACAAGUUCAUACAAUGAGCUCAUUCUGGUAUUCACUAUUCCAUGAAUUGGUAGUGGCUUCGUUCUUCUUGGAGCGAUCAUUUUCUCUGAGGAUGAUGUCCAAGUGGACAAUGAAUAUGAUGCAACUGGUCAACUGGUUACAUAGAAUGCCACAUUUGGGCUUUUGGAGGAUUAAUGAUCGAUCUUACACUGUUUGUGGUUGAGCUGAUGAUCUAGAAGUACGACAAAUGAUCGAUCUUACACUGGUGAUCUAUUGCAUUUUCUGGAGGGCUGAGUGAAUUGUUUGAAAUUUAAUGAGCUGUUGCUGCUCGGAUUUUAGGCAGUUAUUGAUUUGAAUGGAACUUGUCCUUUUCUACUGUUAUUUUCGAGUUAACCCGAAAGAUCAGACUCCACAGAUCAGAGUUUGGUCAAGGCAAUACUAUACCUGGCCAAGAUUGAUAUGGAGUGUCUGGGAUAAGUGAUGUUCUUUCUUGCUCAUACACAUCAAUCCCUAAUCUGUCUUCCACUUCUGUUAUCUUCUGGUUAAGGUGGAAACGAUCAGAUGUUCUCUUUCUUUCGCAGGUCAGAGUUUGGUCGAGGCAAUAGUUUACCUCGUCAAUUUUGAUAUGGAGUGUCUGCAAUCGAUAAUGGUUCAUUCUUGUUGCAUAAGCAUUAAUUCAUAGGACAAGUUCUUCUUUCAGAGUUCUUUCUUGUCUGGAAAGGUCCGCACAUGUUCUAGCUCAUUUCUCUCCCUAUUCUUCUGUAGGACUCCUGAUUGCACUUUCAGCUGCAUACCAUAUGACUUGAUGCUUCUGGCUCUCAUUUUCCAGAGUUAUUUUCUCGUAUUAACAAAAAAUUUAGUGUGGGUGAAUAAAAAUGAAAGUUUGAAGUUCCCUUGCCAUUGAUCACCAGCUCUCUGCUACCUUUCACCAGCUUUAAGAUGAUGCUGAAUUCAAUUUGGUGAAGAUGGUUGUUGAGACUGAGGUUUUAUCCAACUCUGAUCACUAUCCACUGUCAGUAAGUUGGUCAAUGUGGAGACAAAUUGCUUUUUAUAUGGACAUGGUAUCUUUUUGGUUUUUAAUGGCUGUGGAAUUUGAUUUAGAUGGAGAAGAUGUGCUAAUUGCAGGAGUCUUUCGAUUAUUUCAUAGUUAUUCUAAGAAUAUUACUCGCCUUGUGGUUGGAUAGCAUUUGGUGCACUCCCUUGCUGGUAAUUUCACUUGAAACAACUGGUUGGUCACAGAUGGAUGAGGUUCUUGCCUUCUCAGGGAAUUGCUUCAGUCAGAUAUGAGUUUUUGGUCUAACUCUUUUCUUUGUUAUUCAGUUGGUAUUGCCUCGUCGCUUAUAAUGUAUAUAAGUUUUUCACCUCAUGGAGAUUCUUCAUAAAACCUGUCUUUACAUUCCACAACAGAUCACUAUCCAGUAUCCAAUCCAGAUCCGCAUCUUAUAAGUUCGAAGGCUAGUGUCUCCUUCCUAGAAAUUGUCCCUCUCGUGUAUCCUCAUCCUCCAGUUUCAUCUUGCGUUUUGUUCCCCUCUCAGUUGACAGCCUUUGCAAAGUUCAGAUGAGACAUCGAUCCCAAAAUGCGCUCUUGUUCCUCUGCUUUUCUUCUUGUUUCUUUGAUUGAUCGUUAAAUUGGUCUGAUUCUAUUUAUGCUAUCUUAUUUUCUGAAGGUUACACCUGGCCUCUCUGGGACUUUGCCAUGUUGUGGGCGUUGUUAGGGUUUGCGCUCUUCUGAUUGUUGAUUGAUUCAUCAUUGAUUGAUCUUUUCAUUGUAUUAUGAGCUGAUUCUGGUAAAUGCUAAUUCCAUGAAAUUGCGCAGUGGCUUCUUUCUUCCUGGAGUGAUCAUUUUUUUUUUCUCUGAGGAUGUUGUCUGAGGACAAUUAAUACAAUGCAACUGGUCAGUCGGUUACCUAGAAUAUGACUUUUGGGCUUUUUAGAGGACUUAUGAUCUUGUACUAUUUGGUUGAGCUGAUGAUCUUGAGAAGCCUUUUUUCUUCAGGACAAAUGGUGGACUGAAAUUUUGACAACCUUCUAGGCUUCUUUUACAGAUUGAAAGUUUUACUGGAUUUGACAGCUACUGAUCUGUUGCUUUUUCUGUGGGCUGAGUUGAUAAUUACUUGAAAUUGGAUGAGCUCCUGGUUUUCAAAUUUUGGGCAGUUAAUUGGUUUGAAUGAAACUUUUCCUUUACUUCUGUUAUUUCUUAGUUAAUCCGAGAGAUUAGAUCUAGUUCUCUUCCCUUCGCAGAUCAGAGUUUGGUCGAGGCAAUAUUUCAUGUGGCCAAGUUCGACAUGGAGUGUCUACAAUGCAGCAUCAAUUUCUAAUUUGUCUUCCACUUCUGUUAUCUUCUAGUCAAGGUGGUUAUCAUCUAGUUGAGGUGGAACGAUCAGAUGUUUUCUUUCCUUUGCAGGUCAUUGUUUGAUUGAGGCAAUCUUUUACCUCAUCAAUUUCAUGAUGGAGUGUCUGUGAUCAGUGAUGGCUCUUUCUUGCUGCAUAAGAACUAAUUCAUAGGACAAGCUCUUCUGUCAUAGUUCUUUCUUGUCUGGAAAGCUCCGCACAAGUUCUAGCUCGUUUCUCUUCAUUCUUAUCUAUGUGCCACAAUUGCUAAUUGGAUCUCUGGUUAUUCAUGGAGAUAUCAUUAAGAUGUACGUGUUAUGCACUUCUUCCCUAUCAUGGAGAUCGCUCUUGGCAUUACCUAGUUUGCUUCGCCUUCCUUUGUACACAACUUCUGUGUUUUUCUUUUGGUACGGAUCAAGAGGUCAUUUCGUGUUCUUUCUGUGCAAGAGAUUGUUCAAGUUGGAUUCAGUCAAUGGCCAUAUAAAUGUCUAAAAAAUUGUAGGUUUUCUUUGGUUAUUGGGACUGUGAAGGCUGUUUGCUGACAGAAUCGGUUUUACUUCAGGGCAUACUGGUAGAAUUUUAUUUUUUGAUGAUGUAUUUCAAAUAACUAUCCCGAUUGGUAUUCUUAAUCUUUUUUAUUUUAAAUCUAAUUUUUAACAGAUGAUGAUAGUUGAUGAUAGUUGAUACUAGUUGUUCUUUGUUAUUUGAGAAUCUACUUUGUCUUUGGGAUUGGAUUGGAAACUUUUGAUUUGAAUGUCUUGGAGAAGUGAUCUAUUAUGCAGUUUUUGUUUGCUUGAGUUCUGAAAUAGUCUCUGACCACAUAUUCAGGAUGGGCGCUGGACUGGAAUUUUGCAGAUCUCUAGGCAAUUUGUAGUUUUGAUUUAAGUUUGUCUUCAGUUGAUUGUCUUCAGGGAGCAAUGAGAUGGAAAUUGUUGAGUUCUCUCUACAGGUUGAAGUUUUGCCGGGUUUGAGAAGUGGUGAUCUACUGUGUUCUUCUGUAGGGCUGAGUUGAUGAUUGUUUGAAAUUGGACAAGCAGUUGCUUUGUGGAUUCUAGGCAGUUAUUGGUUUGAAUGAAGUUUGUUUUCCACUUCUGCUUUCUUCCGUUUAUGGGAUUUUUUGUGAAUCUGGAAAGCUUGAGAUCCUCAAAGUUCUGGUUUGUUUCUAUCCUUGUAAUGCAUGCUGCAUUAACUAAAGUGAUUGGUGGUAAAUCAUGGAGAUAUUGCAAGUGUAAUUUAUUUGUCUCGCCUUUUUUAUUUUGCGAAUGCUAGCUUCAUACAAUUUAGUUAGCUUAGGGUUUCAUUCUAUACAAUUUAUAUGCUUUUUUUUUAUACAGAGUUUUUGGUGGAACUUUUCAUUUACCAGGUCAUUUCUAUGCUUUAAGUGGUUGUUGAGGAGUGGUCAUGGACAUCCUUAGUGUUUACACUCCUUUGAUCAUCAAUUGAUGGAUUGAUCAAUCCUUUUGUUGUUUUAGAGUUGUUUCUGGAUUUAUAAUCCAAUGCAUUGGCUAUGCUUCUUUUUUUAGGGUCUCUUUGAUUGAGGAGGUUGUCUCAGGAAUGGCUACAUAUAUGAUGAGUUUGGUCAAUUAUUACUUAGAAUGAUUGAGCUUUUCCCGAGUUCAAUGAUCUAUUGACAUCUAUCUUUGGUUGGGCUGGUUUAUGGGUGGUGUCCUCGUCAUGUGUUAGACUAUUUGUGAAUAUAAUUAUUUUCCGAAUUAGAAGCGUUACUAAUCAGAUCCUUAAAAUCAAAUCAAUGUAUAUAUAAGUGGAAGGAGAAUAUUUAUUAGACUACAUAUUGGCCCUUUUUAUCUAUAUUUUAAAGUAAUUUGGCAUGAAAGAAAAUGAAAAAUAUGGGCCGUCUAGAAAAUACAGCCUUCAUUGCAAUGCCAUGGAUCCGAAUUUUUGAGAUCAAGAAUGAAGGACACGAUCACACCCACUGAGGACACGUGUUCAAAGAAGAUCCGUGCCGAGCGUGCCUUCCCGAUUCUUCACGCGAUACCGCGUGCGUCUCAAGCAAGCAACGGUCGGAAUUGACGGCCCACCGACUUUCCUGAAUUAAAACGUCAACAGAUCACAGCCGUCCAAUCACGACCCUUGCUUCGGAUGUAUUUAUUAUCGACGGUGAAUCCGAAGUCGGUGUAUCCUCCCCUAUAAAUAACGGUCCUCUCCCCCUCUUCCUCGUCUUUUAUUACGCGUUUCUGGUUCUGCUCGCGUUCACCUCUUUUCUUCUCUCUCUCGCCAGGGCGUCUGGCGAUAUCGUCGUCUUCCCGAUUUGAGAGCGUUUUUCUGUCGGCCCUUCUCCCUUUUUGUUUUCCGUUUCUCGAUUGAUUGAUUGUUGAUGGGGUUCCGAUCGCUAUCUCUCGUUCUUGAUUUUGUGGAAGCAUCGUCUGGUUGCAGAGACCCCACCCCUGUUGCGCGGAGAUUCUCGAGGGUUUCGCUUGCCCUACGGUCAUGCCUGUUGGUUAUGGGAAUCAUCCGGUUUACGCCUCGUCCUUUGAUCGCUUAGUGAUUCAUCGGCCGAUCGAUUGAUCUUUCCGUUAUUCGGUGAAUUGGCGGUGUGGCUUCUUUCCUCCUGGAUCGUAUCUCUUUCGUCAUGACCAAUCGAUCUUUCCGUAUGAUGUUUUACGAGCUGCUCCUGCAUUUUGUUAUUUGGUAUUCGCAGUUGGCUUUUUUUCCCUGAGAGCGGAACUGCUUGUCUGGGGGAUGAUGAGUACCAUGACAUUGGUCAGUUUGUUUCCUAAAACACGGGUGUUUGGGCUUUUUUGGAAGAUCGAUGAUGAGUACCAUGACAUUGGUCUGUUUUUCAGUUGAGAUGAUGAACUAUCGUAGUAGUCUUUGACCACAUCUUAGACCGGGUGAUGGACUGAAAUUUACUGGUUUUGAUGGGAAUUUGUUCUUCAGUUUUUUGAUCUCGAGGAGUUGAUUAUUGUCCGGUCCUGGUUCUCUCACAGGUUGGAGCUUGCCAGACUCGACAAGUGGCGAUCUGCGGCGUGCUGAUUGUCUGAAAUUGCAUAAGUUCUAUGGUUUCAGUUUGAAUGAAAUUUGUUCCCCAGUCCCAUAAUUUUCCAAUUAAUGCGUAAACCGAUUCUCAUUGCUUUGGAGUGGUUAAUGUAUUAUCUGUGAUGGUUCUUUCUUUGCAAGGUGUAUGGGCCCCAACUGAUCACUAUUCAAUAAUUUUGGCAAAUAAUUUUGAAGGCCAGUGUCUCCUUCCUAGAAAUAGUCCCUCGCUCGUGUCCCCAUCCUUUAGUCUCAUUGGGAGACAUCGUGAUGGGAAGUGGUUGGUUUAGCUCCUCCUCUGAUCUUUUAUCAAACCCACUUUCUGUACGAUUGUUUUACGAGCUGCUUCUAGAUUCUGUUAUUUUUUUUGAAUUUGCAGUGAUUUCUUUCUCCCUUGGAGUGAACUAUUUUUUGAGGAUGGCAAGGACGAUGAAUACCAUGAGACCGGUCAGUUUGUUUCAUUAAAUUAGAUGUUGGGCUUUUUGGAGGACUGAUGAUUUUUUUGCUGUCUCUUUUUGGUUGAGAUGAUGAACUAGUAGUCGUUUAGGUCACACUUUGGAGUUCUGCUAGACUUGACAAGUGGUGAUCUGCCGCUGAUGAUUGUCUGAAAUUGGAUAAGCUCUAUUGUCUUUCGAGGCGGUUGUUGGUUUGAAUGGAAACUUGUUCUUCAAUCCCAUAAUUUUCCAAUUAAUGCAAAACCAGAUUCUCAUUCCUUUGGAGGUCAGUGUUUGGUUGAUGUAUGAUCUGUAAUGGUUCUUUCUUUGCAAGGUGUUUGCGCCACAACAAAUCACUAUUCAAUCCAAAUUUGCUUGCCAGUGUCCCCUUCCUAGAAAUAGUACCUCCCUCGUGUCCUCAUCCUUUAGUCUCAACGAGAGACAUGGUUAUGGGAAUCUAUUCGGUUUAUGCCUCGUCCUUUGAUCAUUUAGUGAUUCAUCGACCUAUCAAUUGAUCAAUUGCGUUUUGCGUUGUUGUUUUGCCCAGCUCAUUCUGGAUUCUUGUUGUUCAGUGAAUGGGCAGGUGUUCGGCUUCUUUCCUUCAUCUUGGAUCAUAUCUCUUGAGGAUGCUGUGAUGCCAUAACGGGGAGGGUUUGGUUUAGCUCCUCCUUUGACCCUUUAUUGAUACAAUGACCAAUCGAUCUUUCUGUACAAUUGUUUCAUGAGAUGCUUCUGGAUUUUGUUAUUUGGUGAAUCCACAGUGUCUCCUUUCCCCUUGGAGCGAAACUGUUUGUCUGAGGAUGUCAAGGACGAUGAAUACUACGAUGACACUGGUCAGCUUGUUUCAUAAAACAUGGAUGUUUGGGCUUUUCGGAAGACUGAUGAUCCUUUUGCCGUUUCUUUCUUCUUCGUUGAAAUGAUGAAAGUAGUCUUUCAAGCAAUAGGCUGAAAUUUGCUGGUCUUGAUUGGAACUUGUUCUUCGGUAUUUUUUCUUUUUCUUUUUCUCUUUUUUUUUUUUUUUUUUUUUAAAUCUUUGGGGUUGAUUAUCGUGUAGUCUUGACAGGUUGGAGUUUUGCCGGACUUGACAAGUGGUGAUUUGCCGCGAACUGAUGAUUGUCUGAAAUUGGAUAAGCUCUAUCAUUUCUGGAGGCGGUUGUCGGUUUGAAUGGAAAUUUGUUCUCUAGUGUUAUAAUUUUCUAAUUAAUGUGAAACCCAAUUCUCAUUCCUUCAGAGGUCAGUGUUUGGUUGAUGUAUGGUCUGUGAUGGUUCUUUCUUUGCAAGGUGUAUGUGCCACAACAGAUCAUCAUCCAAUCCGGAUCUGCUUGCCGAUGUCUCCUUCCUAGAAAUAGUCCCCCCCUCAUGUUCUCAUCCUUCAGUCUCAUUGGAAGACAUUGUUAUGGGAAGUGUUUGGUUUAGCUCCUCUCCUGAUCCUUUAUUGAACCCACUUUAUGUAUAAUUGUUUUACGAGCUGGUUCUAGAUUCUGGUAUUUGGUGAAUUUGCAGUGGUUACUUUCCCCCUCGGAGUGUACUAUUUUUCUGAUGAUGGCAAGGACGAGUGAAUACAAUACCAUGACAGCGGUCAGUUUGUUUCAUAAAACUAGAUGUUGGGGCUUUUUGGAGGCCUGAUGAUCCUUUGCUGUCUCUUUUUGGUUGAGAUGAUAAACCAGUAGUCUUUCAAGCGAGAGGCUGAAAUUUGCUGGUCUUUACUGGAACUUUUCUUCAGUUUUUUUUAUUUAUUAUUUUUUUAUUAUUUUUUUUUUUUUAUAACUUUGGGGAUUGAUUACUGUCUAGCCCUGAUCCUCACAGGUCGGUCGGAGUUUUGCUAGACUUGACAAGUGAUCUGCUGUGAGCUGAUGAUUGUCUGAAAUUGGAUAAGCUCUAUCGUCUCUCGAGGCAGUUAUCGGUUUGAAUGGAAAUUUGUUCUACAAUGCCAUAAUUUUCCAAUCAAUGCAAAACCCAAUUCUCAUUCCUGCGAAGGUCAUUGUUUGGUUGAUGUAUGAUCUGUGAUGGUUCCUUUGUUGCAAGGUGUACGUGCCACAACAGAUCACUAUCCAAUCCGGAUCUGCUUGCAGUGUCCACUCCCUUCCUAGAAAUAGUCCCUCCCUCAUGUCCUCAUCCUUCAGGCUCAUCGUGCAUCUAUUAUUGUGCAUGCAUUCCUCACUUGGUUGACACCCUUUGCAAACUACCCUUCAAAGGAGACAUCAUUCCUGAAAACGCGUUCCUGACCCUUCUUUUGUUCUUUUUAUUUCUUGAUUGGUUUUAAAAUUGGUCUGAUUUUGUUAACACUAUGUUAUUUCCUGAAGGUUACACCUGGCCUUUCUGGGACUCUGCCAUGUUGUGGGCAUCGUUAGGGUCUACGCUCCUCUGAUCAUUGAUUGAUUUAUCAGCAAUUGAUCUUUCCAAGUUCAAUUGUAUUAUGAGCUCAUUCUGGUAUUCACUAUUCCCCGAAUUGGCAGUGGCUUCUCUCUUCUUGGAGCGACUAUUUUCUCUGAGGAUGAUGUCUGAGUGGACAAUGAAUAUGAUGCAAUUGGUCAGUUGGCUACAUAGAAUGCGACAUUUGGGCUUUUGAAGGACUAAUGAUCGACUUUACACUGUUUGUGGUUGAGCUGAUGAUCUAGAAGUACAACAAAUGAUGGAUUGAAAUUUUGACAACCUUCUAGGCUUCUUUUACCGGUUCAAAGUAUUUCUGGAUUUUGACAGCUGGUGAUCUAUUGCAUUUUUUGGAGGGCUAAGUUGAUAAUUGUUUCAAAUUUAAUGAGCUGUUGCUUCUUGGUUUUUAGGCAGUUAUUGGUUUGAAUGGAACUUGUCCUUUACCACUGUUAUUUUCUAGUUAACCCAAAGGAUCAGACUUCACAGAUCAGAGAGUUCAGUGGAGGCAAUACUAUACCUGGCCAAGUUUGAUAUGGGGUGUCUGGGAUCAGGGAUGUUCUUUCUUGUUGCAUACGCAUCGAUCCCUAAUUUGUCUUCCACUUCUGUUAACUUCUAGUUAAGUUGGAACGAUCAGAUGUUCUCUUUCUUUCGCAGGUCAGAGUUUGGUCGAGGCAAUAUUUACCUCGUCAGUUUUGAUAUGGAGUAUCUGUGAUCGGUAAUGGUUCAUUCUUGCUGUAUAAGCAUUAAUUCAUAGGACAAGUUCUUUCAGAGUUCUUUCUUAUCUUGGAAGGCCGGCACAUGUUCUAGCUCGUUUCUUUCCCCAUUCUUCUGUAGGACCCCUGAUUGCACUUUCAGCUGUGUACCCUACAACUUGAUGCUUCUAGCUCUCAUUUUCCAGAGUUAUUUUCUCUUAUUCACGAAAAUUUUAGUGUGGGUGAAUAAAACUGAAAUUUUGAAGUUCCCUUGCCAUUGAUCAACAGCUCUCUGCUGCCUUUCACCAGCUUUAAGAUAAUGGUGAAUUCAAUUUGGUGAAGAUGGUUGUGGAGACUGGGGUUUUAUCCAACUCUGAUCACAAUCCACCGUCAGUAAGUUGGUCAAUGUGGCAGACAAAUUGCUUUUUAUAUGGAUAUGGUAUCUUUUUGGUUUUUAAUAGCUGUGGACUUUGAUUUAGAUGGAGAAGAUGUGCUAAUUGUGGGAGUCUUUUGAAUUUUUCAUAGUUAUUCUAAGUAUAUUACUUGCCUUGUGGUUGGAUAGCAUUUGGUGCACUCCCUUGCUGGUAAUUUCACUUGAAACAACUGGUUGGUCACAGAUGGAUGAGGUUCUUGCCUCGGGGAAUUGCUUCAGUCAGAUAUCAGUUUGUGGUCUUAACUCUUUUCUUUGUUAUUCAGUUGUUAUCGCCUUGAUUUGCUUAUAGUGUAUAUAAGUUUUUCACCUGAUGGAGAUUCUUCAUAAAACCUGUCUUUAUGCGCCACAACAGAUCACUAUCCAGUAUCCAAUCCAGAUCUGCAUCUUAUAAGUUCGAAGGCCGGUGUCUACUUCCUGAAAAUAGUCCCUCCUGUGUGUCCUCAUCCUUCAGUUUCAUCUUGCGUUGUGUUCCCCUCUCAGUUGAGAGCCUCGGCAAAGUCCAGAUGAGACAUUGUUCCCAAAAUGCGCUCUUGAUCCUCUGCUUUUUUUCUUUUGAUUGAUUGUUAAAUCGGUCUGAUUCUGUUUAUGCUAUGUUAUUUUCCGAAGGUUACACCUGGCCUUUCUGGGACUCUGCCAUGUUGUGGGCAUUUUUAGGGUUUGCGCUCUUCUGAUCGUUGAUUGAUUCAUCAUUGAUUAAUGUUUCCAUUGUAUUAUGAGCUGAUUCUGGUAAAUGCUAAUUCCGUGAAUUGGCAGUGGCUUCUUUCUUCUUGGAGCGAUCAUUUUUUCUGAGGAUGUUGUCUGAGGACAGUGAAUAUGAUGAAUACAAUGCAACUGGUCAGUUGGUUGCCUAGAAUACAACAUUUGGGCUUUCUAGAGGACUUGCACUGUUUGGUUGAGCUGAUGAUCUAUAAAAGCCUUUUCUUCAGGACAAACAGUGGACUGAAAUUUUGACAACCUUCUAAGCUUGUUUUACAGUUUGAAAGCUUUACUGGAUUUGACAGCUGGUGAUCUGUUGCGUUUCUGUGGGCUUGAGUUGAUAAUCGGUUGAAAUUGGAUGAGCUCCUGGUUUUCGGAUUGUGGGCAGUUAUUGGUUUGAAUGAAACCUUCUCUUUUACUUCUGUUUUUUCUUAGUUAAUCCGAAAGAUCAGAUCUAGUUCUCUUCCCUUCGCAGAUCAGAGUUUGGUCGAGGCAAUAUUUCAAGUGGUCAAGUUCGAUAUGGAGUGUCUACAAUGCAGCAUCAAUUUCUAAUUUGUCGUGCACUUCUGUUAUCUUCUAGUCAAGGUGGUUAUCAUCUGGUUGAGGUGGAACGAUCAGAUGUUCUCUUUCCUUUGCAGGUCAUAGUUUGGUCGAGGCAAUCCUUUACCUCAUUAAUUUCGAGAUGGAGUGUCUGUGAUCUGUGAUGGCUCUUUCUUGCUGCAUAAGAAUUUAUUCAUAGGACAAGCUCUUCUGUCAGAGUUCUUUCUUGUCUGGAAAAGUCCACAGUGCUAGAUUGUUUUUCUUCAUUCUUAUCUGUGUGCCACAAUCACUAAUUGGAUCUCUGGUUAUUCAUUGGAGAUAUCAUUAAGAUGUAUGCAUCAUGCACUUCUUCCCUAUUGUGGAAAUGGCUACUGGCAUUACCUAGUUUGCUUUGCCUUCCUUUGUACACGAUUUCUGUGUUUUCUUUUUGUACAGAUCAAGAGGUCAUUUGGUGUUCUUUCUGUGCAAGAGAUUGUUUGAGUUUGAUUCAGUCAAUGACCAUAUAUAUGUCUAAAAAAUUGUAGGGUUUCUUUGGUUAUUGGAACUGUGAAGGCUUUUUGCUGACAGAAUCGGUUUUACUUCAGGUUAUACUAGGAGUAUCUUAUUUUCAAAUGAUGUACUUCAAAUAACUAUCUGGAUUGGCAUUCUUAAUCUUUCUUAUUUUAAAUCUAUUUCUUAACGGAUGAUGAUAGCUGAUACCAGCUGUUCUUUGUUUUUUUAGAGCCUACUUUCUCUUUGGGAUUGGAUUGGAAAACUUUUGAUUUGUAUGUCUUGGAGGAGUGGUGAUGUAUCAUGCAGUUUUUGUUUUCUCAAGUUCUGAAGUUGUCUCUGAUCACAUCUUCAGGAUGGGCGCUGGACUGAGAUUUUGAAGAUUUCUAGGCAUUUUGUAGUUUUGAUAUAAGUUUGUCUUCAGUUGAUUGUCUUCGGGGAGUGGGGAGAGAGUUCUCUCUACAGGUUGAAGUUUUGCCGGGUUUGAGAAGUGGUGAUUUAUUGUGUUCUUCUGUAGGGCUGAGUUGAUGAUUGUUUGAAAUUGGACAAACAGCUGCUUUGUGGAUUCUGGACAGUUAUUAGUCUGAAUGAAGUUUGUUUUCCACUUCUGUUUUUUUUCCAUUUAUUGUGAGAUGAUUAGGCCUACCUCUCUUUCAUUCAAUUGCAAGCCUCUUCUGUUUCGUUGUGGGCUGUCUUUAAUCUGUAAUGGUCCUUUCUACAUUUCAUUUAACAAGCUCUUCUUUAUUUGAGCUUCUCUUGCCUUUUGUUGUUUUUGGAAAAUGAAUAGUCAUUCACUAUCUUCCAUUGUAGGGAUUGGUUAUGAGUCUGGAAAUCUUGAGAUCCUCAAAGAGCCGGCUUGUUUCUAUCCUUGCAGUGCAUGCUGCAAUAACAAGUAGCUGGUAAAUCAUGGAGAUAUUGCAAGUGUAAUUUAUUCGUCUCGCCUUUUUUAUUUUGCGAAUGCUAGCUUCACACAAUCUAUAUGAUUGAUGUGUUUUCUUUCGAUACAGAAUUUUUGGUGGAACUUUUCAUUUACCGGGUGAUUUCUAUGCUUUAAGUGGGUGUUGACAAGUGGUCAUGGACAUCCUUAGUGUUUAUGCUCCUUUGAUCAUCGAUUGAUGGAUUGAUCAAUCCUUCUGUUGUUUUAGAGCUGUUUCUGGAUUUACAAUCUAGUGCAUUGACUGUAGCUUCUUUUCUCACAGAGCGAUCUCUUUGAUUGAGGAGGUUGUCUCAGGAAUGGGUACAUAUGAUACAUAUGAUGAGGUUGGUCAAUUAUUACAUAGAAUGACUGAGCUUUUCCCAAGUUCAAUGAGCUAUUCACAUCUAUCUUUGGUUGGGUUGGUGUAUGGGCAGUCUCCUUGAUCAUCUUCAGGACUGGGUGAAGAACUGAUAUUUCGAUGAACUCCUGCUGCGUAGGCACUUGGGUUUUUAUUGAAUCUUUCCUCAGUUGAUUCCCUUGGAGUGGAAAUAUGAUAAUUGUCUUUGUUCCUAUUCAUUUAUAGGUUGGAGUUUUGCCAGAUUUUAUAAGUGAUGAUCUAUCGCCUUUUCUGUGCAGCUGAGUUGAUGCAUUGUGGAGUCCGGCCUUUUUCUGAAAUUGGAUAAGCUCCCCCUUGGAUUUUGGUUCUCUUGAUGUGCUCAUUCUAUAUGUGUCUAUGGAUCAAUCCCUAAUCAAUUGAUAUUUUGACCAUGCUUUUAUGAUAGGGUAUGCAAGAACUACCUUGACUUAUGCUUAGAGGGUUUGAAGUUCGACAUAAGAUCUCUUGAUUGUCAUCGGAUGGCCUCUCUUUUGGACAUAGCUGCAAAAGGAGAGUACUAAGUCUCCUUACUUGCAAUAAGAUAUCUGUAUGGUUUGCUUAGCCAACAUCUUCCACUGCUGUAAUAAUUUCUUCUGAUACAGUGAUUGUUGGGGACAUUUUAGAAAUGAGGCUUUUUGUAGGUGAGAUGGGUUGCUUUUAGUUUGUAGUGCCACCUUGAGGGCCUAAUUUCUGAAUAUUUUAGGUUCUCGUUGAUCCAUGGGACUAUGAAGACUUUUCUGCUGGACCUAAGUUAUACUUUGUUGCAAACUGUUAGCAUCUCAUUCUGAAAAGAUGAACUGGUACUGUGCUGUUUUAAUAACAUACACCCUUCGGUUCCUUUCAUAACCAGUAGGUCUCUUUCUUCUCGUGUUUCAUGAUUGUCAUAACUCAUAAGUGAUCAGGCCUCACAUGGGGAUGUUGACAGGACAGCCAUGUAGACAUAACUCCCUUGGCAUUACUUGCACUCUGACUGGUUCUCUCCUUUCUGCUGAUUCUCUUGUUUCUUAUCCAUCAAAGCUGUGUGUUGUGGCUGUACACUGUCAGCAGACAUGGCCAGUCUGGCUGGGAGGAGCAAACAACUUGGUGCUUGGUUGGCAUGUUUGUUGAAUUUUGUAGUUAAUUUUAAUGGGUGAAACUGAAGGGGCAGAUGACAAUGCUGCAUAAGCUAUGUUUUGAGGUUUUGACAUACCUGGUGAGCAUGGAGCUCUUCUGAUAUCUUAUGAUACCCUAAUGUACGACGGGUGAACUUCUACUUUUUAUAUAUGAUCUUAAAUUUAAUCAAGAACAUAUGCUGGUGAGGAUGGAGUUCUUCUGAUAUCUUAUGAUACCCUAAUGUACAACGGGUGAACUUCUACUUCUUAUAUAUGAUCUAAAUUUAAUCAGCAACAGAUGUUGAAGCUUUUUAGGGGUUAUGAAUUUAUGGAUGUCCAAUUGCAGCGUGAUCCUUUGCCAUUGAUGAUCUUUCGACCAGAUACUCUAAUUGAUGGUUCUACUGUAUCUCUUUCUCAUCGGCUUUACAAGGGUUGUUCAAGUCAUCUUCCUUGUAAUUGGAGAUACUAAAUGUUCACCUUAUGAUCGGUUUCAUUUGCUUUGGUAUUUCGUUUGGAGGCAAGAAUUUUGAAGCAUCUGACUUGGUCUAUUUCCAGAACAAUUUUGGCGAAGGCUCUGAUUUUUUACAGAAAGGUUUAUCAAAGUUAUUAAGGUUCAAGCCUACGUCUGAUCACAUUAACUAAUUUUGCGGCUUCUAAUGCUAUAUGGAUUAUUCAGUCGUCGACGGGUGCUUGUUCCAGUUUAGAGCGAUCCCAGUAAGGACCAUGUGAGGAUGCUAAUUGAUCAAAAUUGUUAGAGAAUUCUAGUUCUUGAGUUGGAGAAGGCAGGAGGUUAUUAUUUAAUGCAAUUAUGUUUAGUUGAGAUACUGAAUUAUUGUUUUUCUUUGUGGAUUGGAGUGAUGAGCAAUGUGUGGAUCUUCAUAUAGGGAUUGUCUGAUUUUUGUAUUCUCAAGGAUUGAAGGAGAUGUGACGGACAUCUAGAUCUCUUCCUGUUGUAGGUUGGAGUCCUUUCGCAACUCAUGCUGUCCACCUGGUUUGUGUUGUAGGAUAUGGACCCAUUUUAACUAUUAGAGGAGUCGAUUGACUUAGCAAGCUUUUGCUUUUUGCUUCUGCUGGGGUACUUUCGGUAUAAAUGGUUGAUUUUGGGUGCCAGUUCAAGUUUCUUUCUUCUAUGAUGUCAUGCUCUCUAUCUUCGUCUGCGAACUUCACUGGAUAAAAUAACAAUUACUACAAUUGAGUCUUGUGUCCAAGGGUAAGUCUAGUUGGGGCUUCUACUUUUUGCUUCUCCUGGGGGUAUUUUUCGUGUAAAGUACUGUUGAAUGGCAGUAUGACUUAUCAGAUUAUUUUACCCAACUCUUGUGAGAUAUUUGCAGAUAUUCGCUAACAUCAUGGCCAGUUUAUCCCUUAAUACUUUCAAUUUGUUUGGUACAGUCUGUAGAAGCUCUCUCUUCGGGAUUCUCUCUAUAUUAAAGUUCAAGUUGAUAUAAAUUUGCCUCACAAAUUAGUUUUAUAUUGCUUGUGUGUUGAAAUCGAAAGUUAUUACUUGGUCACGAGCAGCUCGCAUGAUCCUUCUACAUGGGUUCACCCCUCAUCCUCUUCGAAACUCUUAUUCUGUUAUCUUCAUUUUCUGAAGAUGUUGGCUCUAGUUUGUACCUAAUAAACUAUAUCUGCAAGGAUGCUCCGGAAUAUGCUCGUGUGUAAGAGUGGGUGGAUGGUUUGGAUGUUUUUUGCCAACUUUUAUAAGGUCGCUCUUUGAAUGAGAUGGUGCACUCGGACAUGUUGCUUUCGGGUAGGGUUCAUGUGUUGUAUGAGCUAUGCCUGAUGUUGAACUUGAGAGGAAAGACUAACUGUUUUGAAGACCUCGCAAAGAAAUUGAGCCUUCCUGCAGCAUAUAUGGAGCUUGUAUAAUUCUGCUCGUAUUUUUGGACUUACCAACAUAUUUCUGUCUAUCGGCAGUUGCUCAUUUUUUAGAGCAAAUUGUGCAACUAUUAUCGUAGUACAAGUAAGACAGUUGUGGUUGGCAGAAAAUCAAGCAUGGCUUGUGCAGAUAGCACCUGUUAUCAUUUUGGUUAGGGUGUGAUGUGCUAACUUUUGUAAGUGAUGUCCUGGGCCCAUGCUCUGUAUUUUAUCGAGACUUCAAAUUCUUGACAUUUUCCAAACGAGAGGCGGUGAUUUUCUUGUGACUAAUUGUGGGUGUUCCCGGUCAAGUUUCCUAAUUGGAGAUAUUGAGUGUUUUGCCAACCAGUAAUCAUGGGCAAUUAUGGACUUAGGUAAAGUGGCAAGUCGAAGUUUGUUGGUCUUUUAUUAUUUUAACCACAAUUCAUUUAAGAAUAAAAAAUUAUUCAAAGCAGCCAACCCCGAUUUCUAAAACCAGGGUGAUGCUGCGACCAUAGCAACUCUCAGGAGGUCAAAGAUGACCCGUAAUCUCAAGCGAAGGUUGGAAUUGGCAGCCCACCGCCUUUCCUUGACUAAAAUGUCAACAGAUAUAUUAUUUUCACGAUUCACGACUCUGCUUCGAUUUAUUAUUUUCACCGUCCCUUCCCAAGUCGGUGGAUACUUCUCUAUAAAUAACCGUCCUUUCCCCUCUCCUCAUUAUAUUCUUCCAGUCUUGUCACGCGUUUCUGGUUCUGCUCGCGUUCCCCUCCUCUCUCUCGCCUUCUUCAGAGAGGAGUAGCAAUCACUCUUCAUCGACCAUUCUUCCGUUUCUUGGUUGAUUGUCUCUGGGUUUAAGCGUUUGCUUGCAGAAGCCUCACCGUUGUGGAGAUUCUUGAGGGUUUGAUUUGGCCUACGAUGCUCAUGGUUAUUGGAAUUAUCUUGUUUACGCUCAGUGAUUGAUCCACCCAUCUGUCUUUGCGUUAUUAUCUGACCAGCUUAUUUUGGAUCAUACCUCUUUCGUCUGAGGAUGUCAUCCCGGGAAGUGUUUGGUUUAGCUCCUCCUUUGACCCUUUAUCGAUACAUUGACGGAUUGAUCUUUCCCUCCAAUUGUUUUACGAGCUGCUUCUGGGUUUUGUUAUUUCGUGAAUUGGCAGUGGCUUCUUUCCGGUCUUGUCUGAGGAUGUCAAGGACAAUGAAUACUAUGAUGCAUUGGUCAGUUUGUUUCAUGAAAAUCAGAUGUUGGGGCUUUUUGGAAGACUGAUGAUCCUUUUGCGAUCUCUUUUUGGUUGAGAUAAUGAACUAGUAGUCUUGAUUAGAAUUUGUUCUUAGGUUUUCUUAUCUUCGGGGGGUUGAUUAUCGUCUAUAGUCGCUCAAGGUAGUUAUUGGUUUGAGUGAAAUUGGUUCUCCAGUGCUGUAAUUUUCUGAUUGAUGGGAAAUCCAAUGCUCAUAUCUUCAGAGGAGAGUGUUCAGUCGAUCUAUGAUCUGUGAUUGUCCUUGCGCCACAACAAAUCGCUAUCCGAUCCAGAUCCGCUUGUCGGUGUCUCCUUCCUAGAGGUAGUCUCAUCAUGCGUCUAUGAUUGUGCAUGCAUUCCCCACUCAGCUAACACCCUUUGGGCAGUACUCUUCAGAGGAGACACCGAUCCUAAAAAGGUGUUCCUGACCUUUCUUCUUUUCUUUUUAUUUUUUGAUUGAUCUUAAAAUUGGUAUGAUUCUGUUUACGAUAUGUUAUUUUCCAAAGGUUAAGCCUGGCCUCUCUUGGACACUGCCGUGUUUUGGGCAUCAUUAGGGUUUGCGCUCUUUUGAUCGUUGAUUGAUUCAUCAUUGAUUGAUCUUUCCAAGUUCAGUUGUAUUAUGAGAUCAUUCCAGUACUCACUAUUACCUGAAUUGGUAGUGGUUUCUUUCUUAUUGGAGCAAUCUUUUUCUCUGUGGAUGAUGUCUGAGAGGACAAUGAAUACAAUGCAACUGGUCAGUUGGUUACAUAGAAUACAACAUUUGGGCUUUUUGGAGGACUAAUGGUCUAUCUUGCACUGUUUGUGAUUGAGCUGAUGAUCUAGAAGUCUUUGUCUUCAGGACAAACAAUGGAUUGAAAUUUUGACAACCUUCUAGUCUUCUUUUACUGUUGAAAGGUUUACUGGAUUUUGACAGCUGGUGAUCUAUUGCAUUUUCUGUGGGGCUGAGUUGAUAAUUGUUUGAAAGUGGAUGAGCUCCUGCUUCUCGGAUUUUGGGCAGUCAUUGGUUUGAAUGGAACUUGUCCUUUACUUCUGUAAUUUUUUAGUGAAUCCGAAAGAUCAGAUCUCGUUCGCUUCCCUUUGCAGAUCAGAGAUUGGUUGGGGCAAUACUUUACUUGGUCAAGUUCGAUAUGGAGUGUCUAUGAUCAGUGAUGUUCUUUCAUGCUGCAUAAGCAUCAGUUCCUAAUUUGUCCUCCACUUCUGUUAUCUUCUAGUUAAGGUAGAAUGAUCAAAUGUUCUCUUUCCUUCGCCGAGUUUGGUCUAGGCAAUACUUUACCUCAUCAGUUUUCAUAUGCAAUGUGUGCAUAAGCAUCAAUUCAUAGGACAAGCUCUCCUUUCAGAGUUCUUUCUCAUCUGGAAAGGUCCACACAUGUCCUAGCUUGUUUCUCUCCAUUCUUAUCUAUGUGCUACUAUCACUAAUUGGAUCUCACGGAGACUAUUUUGUUAUAUGUGAAUGCUCUUUUUACCUAGUUUGCUUCACCUUUUUUUUACACGACUUCUGUGUUUUCUUUUGGUACAUAACAAGAGGUCAUUUUGUGUUCUUUCUGUGCAAGAGGUUGUUUGAGUUGGUUGGACUCAAUGGCCAUAUAAUUGUCUUAAUUGUAGGUUUUCUUUGGUUAUUGGGACUGUGAAGGCUUACUGCUGACAGAUCGGUUUUACUUCAGGGCAUCCUAGCAUCUUAUUUUGAAAUGAUAUAUUUCAGAUAUCUGACAUGAUUCCUCUGCAGUCUGAUGUUGGGUUGGUGGACCAGGAGUGCUGGGUGAUGAACACGUGUUUCUUUUUUAAAAUUUAUUCUUUAAUCAUCUUUGGGUAGUGGCAAGAAUCGAGAUGCUAAUCGUCUAGUUCUAAUUGCAUUAGGUCGAAGGUUUGCUGAAUUUGAGAAGUGCUGAUCCAUUGCCUUUUCUGCAAGGCUGGGAGGAUGAAUUGUGGAAACAGGGUUUUGUUAGCUCUCAUUUGGAUUCUGGACUAGGAGUACUGGGCGAUGAACACUUAUGUUUCUUUUUUAAAAUUUAUUCUUUAUUUAAUCAUCUUUGGGUAGUGGCAAGAAUCUAGAUGAUAAUCAUCUAUUUCUAAGUGCAUUAGGUCAAAGGUUUGCCGAAUUUGAGAAGUGCUGAUCCAUUGCCUUUUCUGGUAGGCUGAGAGGAAGAAUUGUGGAGACGGGAUUUUGUUAGCUCUCAUUUGGAUUGUGGACAGUAAAUGGUUCCAAUAUUAUUCUUUAGUUCUUUUUUUUUUUUCUUUUUUUUCAAGCAAGAGGAUCACCAUCCAGUUCUCUCUCUUUUGUAGGAAAUUGGUUAAAGCAAAGACUUCACCUCUAACUUCACUAUGGUGUGUUAUUUUGAUCUAGGAUGGUGCUUUGUAGUUGUGUAUUAGAAGAAUGGUUUGAUUGGACAAGAUCCUUAAUUAUUUGGCACUUCUUACCUGGAAAGCUUGAGGUCCACAUUAGUCUUGGCUUGCUUCUCUUCAUUCUUAUCUUAUAUGUGAACUGCAAUCACUAAAUGGAUUGUUUUUGGAAAGCAUGCAAAUAGUUUAUGCCUCAUUGUGCCCUUAUAUUAGACUCUUGACAAAUCUGAAUUUGGUUGGCACUUAUGACUUUCAAUUUGUUUACUGAUUUUGUAAGAUGAUAGUUGAUACCAGUUGUUCUUUGGCAGAUCCGAGCCUACUUUCUCUUCAGGUUUGGAUGGAAAACUUCGAUUUGUAUGUCUUAUCUGUUUCUUUGAUGGAACUAUCCUGCAUGUUAUUUAUCACAAACUUUUUUCCUUUUCAACAUACUUUGUUGCACAUUCAUUUGGAAAAAUUCAAAGAUGUUUCUUGCAUAUGCAUUUGCUUGGACUUGGCGUGUAUGUCUGCUUGAAUUUUGUGUGAAUAGAUGUUAAAUCUGGUUUAUUUGAACAAUUUUUUGCGAGGUUUCUUUUGUGUUUAUAUUUGAUGAGACUGAUGGUGUCUGGACGGUAAUUCCUAUGCUGAGAUGUUAAUUUGGUGUAACCUAUUGUCCCUUUUUUCUCUACGUUAUAUGAACUUGCAGGAUAGGUUUUAUUCCAAAAAUAGUUGUUUUUCACAGUAUUUUUUGCAGUAACAUUUACCUUUUGCCAAAAUUUUACCAAAUGUAUAGUAUGUGAUGUUUUCACUUAUAAAACGAUGUUGUGGGAUGGUUUAUUUUAUAGAUUGAUCUUUCUAUUAAAUUGUUUAUCAAGAUGAUUAUGGAUUUCGGUGGACUGGCAGUCCCAUCUUUCCUCUUGGAGUGAUCUCUUCAUCUGGGCAUGUCGACUAAGGAUGAUAAAUACAUAGAAGCUGGUCAGUUUACAUAGAAUAAGGUGCUUGGACUUCUUGGAGGAGUGGUGAUCUAUUAUGCAGUCUUCGUUUGCUUGAGUUCUGAAGUAGUCUCUGAUCACAUCUGAAGGACAGGCAAUGGACUGAAAUUUUGAAGAUUUCUAGGCAUUUUGAAGUUUUGAUUUAAGUUUGUCUUCAGUUGAUAGGACAGCUGUCUAGACAUGACUUGCCUUGGCAUUGCUUGCCCUCUGACCGGUUCUCUCAUUUCUGCUGAUUCUCUUAUUUUGCAUUCACUACAAAGCCGUGUUGUUACAUGUAUGCUGUCCACAGACAUGGCUGGUCAGGCUGGGAGGAUCAGACUAGGUGCUUGGUUGGCAUGUCUGUCAAAUGUUAUAGUUAUUUCUAGAUUGGUGAAACUGAAGCGACAGAUGAUGAUCCCUCAGCGGUAAGCUUUGGUUUACAUAUCUGGUGAGCAUGGACUUCAGUCUAUAUGAUACCCUAAUAUGCAACAGGCAAACUUCUACUUUGCAAUAUAAUCUAAUUUAAUCAAAGCAUGGCUGUUGAAGCUCUAUGAAUUUAUAGAUCUCCAAUUGCAGUGUGAUCCUUUGCUAAUGAUGAUCUGUCCUCCAGAUAUUCUAAUUCAUGGUUCUAUCACUGUAUCUCUUUCUCAUCGACUCUAGAAGGGUUGUUUGGAGUCAUCUUCCUUCUAGUUGGAGAUAUUAAACGGUUGCCUUAUGAUCGGUUUCAUUUGCUUUGGUAUUUGCUUUGAAGGCAUGAAUUUUGAAGGAUCUGGCUGAGUCUUUCCAGAAAAAUGUUGGCAAAGGCUCUGAAUACAGAAAGGUUAACCCUUAUUAAGGUUCAAGUCUCCUUCUGAUUAUAUCAACUAAUUUUGUGCUUCUAUGCAAUACGGAUUUAUUCAGUCAUCAACAGGUGCUUGUCCCAGUUUAGAGUGAUUUCACUAAGGACGGUGUGAGAAUGCUAAUUGAUCAGAGCUGUUAGAGAAUCCAAGUUCUUGAGUUGGGGAAGGCAGGAGGUUAUUAUCUAAUGCAAUGUUUAGUUAAGCUACUGACUACUUGUUUUUCUUAGUGGAUUGGGGUGAUGGACGAUGUCUGGAUCUUUCUAUAGGGAUUGUCUGUAGCUGCAUGAAUUCUGCGAAGAUCUGGUUUAUGAUAUUUUUAUUCGAGGAUGCGAUGAAUGUCCAGUUCUCUUCCUGUUGUAGGUUGGAGUCUUUUUGUUGCAAAUUACGCUGAAUUUGACCUGGUUUGUGUUGCAGUAUCAACCCAUUUUAACUAACUUUUGGGGGAAUGAUUUGACUUUGGCAAGCUUUUACUUUUUGCUUCUCAUGGGGGUAUUGUUGGUGUAGAUGGUUUAUUUUGGGUGCUGGUUCAAGUCUCUCUCUUCGAUGAUGCCGUGUUCUCAUCUUGGAUUGUGAACUUCACUGGAUAAAUCUGAAUUACUACAAUUGAGUCUUGUGUCCAAGGCUAAGUCCAGUUGUUGCUUAGCUCAGUCAUAUGGGGACUUUUACUUUUUGCUUCUUCUGGAUGUAUUUUGGUAUAAAUGGUUUAUUUUGGGUAGCAGUUCAAUUCUUUCUCUUCGAUGAUGUCAUGCUCUCAUCUUUUUCUGUGACGUUCACUGGAUAAAACUACAGCUGAGCCCUAUUUCAACGCUAAGCCUUUGCUUGGUCAUUUGAUGGCACACAUUGAUGGCAAUGUUUGACUUAUCGGAUACUUCUGUCUUAUUCUUGUGAGAUGGGAGACUGAUUGCAGAUAUUCGCUAAAAUCACGACAGAUUAUCCGUUUCUACUUUCAAUUGAUUUGGUGCAUUCCAUAAAAGCUGUCUCUGGAUUCUCUUUUUGAAUAUCCAGUUGAUGUGAAUUUGCCUGGCAAAUUACUCUUAUACUGCUUGUGUGUUGGAAUCAGGAGUUACUGGGCCAGGAGCUCGCUUGAUCCCUCUAGCACCGAUUAACCCCUCAUUCUCUUUGAAACUAAUGUUCUAAUAUCAUCAUUUUUCUGAGGAAGCUGGCUCUAGUUUGUUAAACCAAAGACAUGCCUUGACCAUGUCAAUUCAGGACAUGUGGUCAAAGAUGACUCAUAACGGGCAUCCCUCAGCAUGCGUCUCAAGUGACGGUCAAAAUUAGCAGCCCACCAUGGCAAUUCAGGACAUGUGGUCAAAGAUGACUCAUCACGGGUGUCCCUCAGCAUGCAUCUCAAGUGUCGGUCAGAAUUAGCAGCCCACCUACCUGUCCAAUCAUGACUCUCCUUGGGAUUUAUUAUUAUCAACAGUCAAUCCAAAGUUGGUGGAUCUUUUCCUAUAAAUAACCGUCCUUUUCCCCUCUUGUCCUCAUUAUAUCCUUUGCUCUUGUCACGCAUUUCUGGUUCUGCUUUUCUGCUCAUGUUCCCCUCUUCUCUCUCUCCCCAUGGCCUCUGCAAAGUGCAAACAUCAUCAACAUGGAGAAGUAGCAAUCCCGAUUAAGCGCUCUUUGUGGACCAUCCCUUCUCCUUCUGUUUCUGUUUCUUGAUUGAUUGUUGAUGGCAUCGAUUGCUUUUUCGGUCUGAUUUUGUGAAGCAUCUGGUUGCAGACCCCCUGUUGCGGAGACUCUGGAGGGUUUCGCUUGGCCUACUAUGCCUAUGGUUAUCAAAAUUAAUUCGGUUUACGCCUCAUCCUUAAUCAAUCUUUCUGUCACCGUAUUAGCAGCUUCUGGAUUUUUGUUAGUUGGUAAAUUGGCAUUUGCUUCUUUCCUCUUGGAUCAUCUCUUUUUUCUAAGGAUGUCGUUGUGGGAACUGGGAAGUGUUCAGCUCCUCCUCUGAUCUUUUAUUGAUCCAUUGACUGAUAGAUCUAUCCGUUUAAUCAUUUUACGAGCUGCUUCUUUCCCCUUGGAGUGAAACAGUUUGUCUGAGGAUGUCAAGGACAAUGAAUACAGGAACACCAGUCUUGUUUCGUGAAACUAGGUGUUUGGGCUUUUUGGAGGACUGAUGAUACUUUUGCGGUCUUUUUUCUGGUUGAGACAAUGACCUAGUAGUCUUUCAUCACACCUUAGUGCUGGCGAUAGACUGAUGAAAUUUACUGGUUUUGAUGGGAAUUUGUUCUUCAGCAUUUUUUAUCUUGGGGAGUUGAUUAUCGUCUAGUCCUGAUUCUCUCACAGGUUGGAGUUUUGCUAGACUUGACAAGUGGUCUUCUGCUGCGAGCUGAUAAUUAUCUGAAAUUGGAUAAGCUCUAUUGUCUCUUGAGGCAGUUAUCGGUUUGAAUGAAAUUUGUUCUCCAGUCUCAUAAUUUUCCAAUUGAUGUGAAAACCGACUCUCAUUCCUUUGGAGGUCAGUGUUUGGCCAAUGUAUGAUCUGUGAUGGUUCUUUCUUUGCAAGGUGAACGCGCCACAACAGAUCACUAUCCAAUCUAAAUCCGCUUUGUCAUAUUUUUAUUGAAGGUUGAAAGCAGCUGUCUCCUUCCUAGAAAUAGUCCCUCCCUUGGGUCCUCGUCCUUCAGUCUUAUCAGGCAUCUAUGAUUGUGCAUGCAUUCCUCACUCAGCUGACCCCUUUGCGAAGUACUCUUCAGAGGAGACAUCGUUCCCAAAAGUGCACUUGAUCCUUCUUCUUUUCUUUUUGUCUCUUCAUUGAUUGUUAAAUCGGUCUGAUUCUGUUUAUGCCAUGUUUUUUUCCCAAAGGUCAAGCCUCUCCUCCCCGGGACUCUGCCAUGUUGUGGGCAUCGUUAGGGUUUGCGCUCCUCUGGUCAUUGAUUGAUUCCUCAUUGAUUGAACUAAGUUCAAUUGUAUAAUGAGCUGUUUCUGGUAUUAACUAUUCCGUGAAUUGGCAUGGUUUCUUUCUUCUUGGAGCAAUUUCUCUGAGGAUGAUGUGCAACUGGUCAGUUGGUCACAUAGAAUACGACAUUUGGGCUUUUCGGAGGACUAAUGAUCUAUUCUUGCACUGUUUGGUUGAGCUGAUGAUCUAGAAGCCUGUCUUUAGGACAAGCGAUGGACAGAAAUUUUGACAACCUUCUAGGCUUCUUUUACAGGUUGAAAGUCUGUCGCGUUUUCUUUGGGGCUGAGUUGCUAAUUGUUUGAAAGUAGAUGAGCUCAUGCUUCUUGGAUUUUAGGCCAUCAUUGGUUUGAAUGGAACUUAUCCUUUACUUAUUUUAUUUUCUAGUUAAUUUGAAAGAUCAGAUCUAUUUCUCUUACCUUUGCAGAUCAGAGUUUGGUUGAGGCAAUACUUUACCUGGCCAAGUUCGAUAUGGAGUGUCUGGGAUCAGUGAUGUUCUUUUUUUUUUUUUUUUUUUUUGGUAAGAGUAAGCAAUAUAUAUAUAUUAAUAGGGGUCAAACUGUACAAACAACACGGCUCCAAAAACUUACACUCAAAAUGAACACACUCAUUAAGAGUGGAAGGAAGCCGCGGAAAAGCAACAAAACGACCAACAGAAAGCCAACAGCAAACGCAUCAAUUCCUAAUCUGUUUUCUGCUUCCCUUAUCUGCUAGUCAAGGGGAACGAUCAGAUGUUCUCUUUCCUUCUCAGGUUAGAGUUCGGUCGAGGCAAUACUUUACCUCGUCAAUUUCAAUAUGGAGUGUCUGUGAUCAGUAAUGGUUCGUUCUUGCUGCAUAAGUAUCAAUUCCUUGGACAAGCAGAGUUCUUUCUUAUCUGGAAAGGUCCACACAAGUUCUAGCUUGUUUCUCUUUAUUCUUAUCUGUGUGCUACAAUCGCUAAAUGGAUCUCUCUGGUAAAUCGCAGAGAUAACAUAUGUGAGUCAUACGCCGUGCUCUUUUUCUAUCCCGGAACUGGCUCCAGGCAUUACCUAGUUUACUUGACCUUUCUUCUUACAUGACUUUUAUGUUUUCUUUUGGUACAGAACAAGAGCUGAUUUCUUGUGUUCUUUUGGUGCCAGAGGUUGUUUGAGUUGGUUGGACUCUGUUAAUGGCCAUAUAAAUGUGUGUAGGUUUUCUUUGGUUAUUGGGACUGUGAAGGGUUAUUGCUGACAGAAUUGGUUUUAAUUCGGUGCAUACUGGUGGUGUCUUAUUUGGAAUGAUGUACUUUAGACAUCUAUUACGAUUCGCAUUAUUAAUCUAUCUUAUCCUUUUCUAUUUCGUAACAGUUGAUGAGCCGAUUACUUUCUGGAUCUAGUUUCUGAAACAUCUGGCUUGUUGCAGAAGCUUGAUUUCUUCUGUUCGCGCUGCCUUUUUGGGGCUUGGCCAUGGUCAUGAACAUCAUUAGGUUUAUUGUUGUCCUUUGACAAUUAAUUAAUUGAUUGAUUGGUCGUUCUAUUUAGUUGUUUUAUGAGCAGAUUCUGGAUCCAUUAUUUAGUGGAUUGGAAGUACCUUCUUCUCUGAUGGACCAAUCUCUACUUCUGAGGAUGUCAUGUAAGGAGCAGUAAAUAUGAUGAGUUUGGUCGAUUAUUGCAUACAUUAAAGUGUUAAAGCUUUUUUGGGACUGACAAUUUCUUUGCAGUAUAAUGUUGGGUUGGUGGACUAUAGGAGUACGGGGUGAACACUUAUGUUUCUUUUUAAAUUCAUUCUUUCGUUGAUUAUUUUUUAGUAGUGGCAAGAAUUGAGAUAAUUGUCUAGUUCUAAUUGCUUUAGGUUGACUUCUAUGCUUUAGGUGGCCGUUGAGGAGACUGCUCAUUGACAUUGUUAGUGCUUACGCUCCUUCUUUGAUCUUUGAGCGAUGGAUUGAUCCAUCCUUCUAUUGUUUUACAAGCUGCUUCUGGAUUUAUAAUCUAGUGUAUUGGUUGUACCUUCUUUUCUUGCGGAACGAUCUCGUUGAUCGAGGAGGAUGUCUAAGACAUGUGUCCUUGAUCAUCUUCCGGACUGGUGAAGAACUGAAAUUUCGAUGAACUCCUGCUACGUAAGCUCUCACUUCUUUGAUUUUGGUUCUUUUGAUGUCCUCACUGUCAAUGUGUAUAUGGAUCAACCUUAAUCAAUUGAUAUGUUGGCCGUGCUUUUAUGAUAGGGGGUGCAAGAACUAGCUUGACUGUGCUUUGAGGGUUUUUGGUUCGACUUGAUAUCUCUGGUCGCCAUUGGAUGGCCUCUCUGUUGGACGUACUUGAAAGAAGAGAGUACUAAAUCUCCUUAGUUGCAAUAAGAUAUCUGUGUGGGUUUGCUUAGCCUAUAAUUUCCACUGCUGCAAUACUUUCUUCUGUUACUGUAACUUUGCUGGGGACAUUUCACAAAUGAGGUGAUUUGUAGGUGAUGUGUUGAUUUUAGUUUGUAGUGUUACCUUGAGGGCCUAAUUUCUGUAUAUUUUAGGUUCUUGUUGAUCCAUAGGACUAUGAAGAAUUUUCUGCCAGGAACUAAGAUAUACUUCAUUGGAAACUGUUAGCAUCUCAUUCUGAAAAGAUGAACUGGUACUUUUGCCUUUUAGCUUCCUAAUAACGUACACCGUGGGGGUUUCUUUCAUCACUAGAAGGUCUCUUUCUUCUGGUUGGCAUAUGUGAUCAGGCCUCACAUGGGGAUGAUGACAGGACAGCCAUCUAGACAUAACUUCCCUCGGCAUUGCUUUACCUUUCUUCUCCUUUCUGCUGAUUCUCUUGUUUUUGUCCAUCACAAAGCUGUGUUGUUACGUGUGUACUGUCAGCGGCGAUAUGGCUGAUCAGGCUGGGAGGAUCAGACACUAGCUGCUUGGUUGGCAUGUUUGUCAAAUUUUGGUACUUUUUUUUAGAUUGGUGAAACUGAAGGGGCAUACAACAAUCCUGCAGUGAAUGAGGCUCUGAUUUGAGGUUUUAACAUUUCUGGUGAGCACAGAGUUCAGUCUACUUCCCCUUCUAGUUACUUAUGAUACCCUAAUGGACGGUGGGGAACGUCUACUUUGUAUGUGUAAUCUAAUCUAAGCAUCAAGCAUAGCUGUUGAAGUUCUUUAGGUCUAUGAAUUUAUAGAUCUCCAAUUGCAUCAUGAUCCUUUACCAAUGGUGAUCUGUCAUCCAGAUUAAUUCAUGGUUCUAGUGACUCUUUCUCAGUGGCUCUGCAAGGAUUGUUUGGAGCCAUCUUCCUUCUAAUUGGAAAUAUCAAACUUUUGCCUUAUGAUCAGUUUCAUUUGCUUUGGUAUUUGCUUUGAAGGCAUGAGUUUUGAAGCAUCUAGCUGGGUCUAUUUCCAGAACAAUGCUGGUGAAGGCUUUAAUUUUAUACAGAAAGGUUUAUCAACGCUAUUCAGUUUCGAGUCUCCCUCUGAUCAUAUCGGCUAAUCUAGUGGCUUCCAUGCUAUACGGAUUUUUUCAGUUGUCAGCGGGUGCUUGUUCCAGUUUAGAGAGAUCUCACUAUGGACCCUGUGAGGAUGCUAAUUGAUCAAGCUGUUAGAGAAUCCAAGUUCUUGAGCUGGGGAAGGCAGGAGGUUAUUAUCUAACGCAAUUAUGUUUAGUUGAGCUACUGAAUUGUUGUUUUUCGUUGUGGAUCAGGGUGAUGAGUUAUGUCUGGAUCUUUCUAUAGGGAUUAUUUGUAGCGGCAUGAACUCUGCAAAGAUCUGGUUUAUGAUAUUUUCAUUUCACAGAUUAGAGGAGAUGCGAUGGACAUCUAGUUCUCUUCCUGUUGUAGAUUAUCCCUUUCUUCUUUCAAGUUUGGUGCAGUCCAUAGAAGCUCUCUCCUCGGGAUGCUCUUUAUAUUGAAUCUCCCAGUUGAACAAAUUAGUUUCAUAAUGCUUGUGUGUUGAAAUCAAGAGUUACUUGGUCACGAGUUCACUUGAUCCCUCUAUAUGGAUUCAUGCCUCAUUCUCUUCGAAACUCGUAUUCUAUCACCAUCGUUUUCUGCAGAAGCUGGCUUUAGUUUUUGUACCUGGAAAACUAUAUCCGCAAAGAUGCUUGGAAUUUGCUCGUGGGGGUGCAUGGAGUGGAUGGUUUGGUUGUUUUUGCCAUCUUUAGUGCUCGCACUUUGAAUGAGAUGGUGCACUGGACAUGUUGCUUUAUGAGCCAAGAAAAAUUGACUGUUUUGAAGACCUCCCAAAGAAUUGCGCCUUCCUGCAGGAUGUAUGGAGCUUGUAAAACUCUGCUCAUAUUUUUGGACAUAUUUCUGUCUAUUGUCAGUUGCUCACUUUGUUGAGCAAAUUGUGCAACUUUGUAUCUUCUCACAAGUAAGACGUUCGUGGUUGACAAAAAUCAAGCAUAAUUGUGCAGAGAGCACUUGUUAUCAUUUUGGUCUGGGCGUGAUGUGCUAACUCUUGGAAGUGAUGUCCUUGGCUAAUAAUCUGUAUUUUAUGGACUUCAAAUUCUUGAGAUUUGCCAAAUGAGAGGUGGUGAUUUUCUUUUGACUAGUCUUGAUUUUCGUUUUGUGGCAUCUAAAUGUGGGGGUUCACGGUCAAGUUUCCUAAUUGGAGAUAUUUUUAGUGUUUGCUAACUAGUAAUCAUGGGCAUUAUGGAAUUGGCAUCUCUUCCUCUCUCUUUUGGAAGUUUGCUUUUACAAACUAUCCGGCUGACAUGGGCACUUCGCCAAUUAAAUGUCUCUGCACUUUUUUCUGAUAUGAAUGUUUUGUAAUGGCAAUUGGAGCCUUACAAAAGUGAGGAUUCCCGUGGCUGCUGGGAUGUUUCCUAGCAGAUUUGAGGUCUCAUCUUUUUUACCCUGGAUAGCAUCGUAGCUCCUCUCAGUGCAGUAUUCCAGUUGAAGUGUUGGGAAUAAGUCUUAUUAUCAGAAGAAACAAACUGAUUUCAUCAUUUGUUGAUGCCAAUGCUCUGUUGCACGCAUUCUCAAUUUCAGCUGGUUGAUCUUUUGAUUCAGUCAGGCACAGAAAUUGACCAUACCAGCACUGGUCGGUUUAUUUUUCUUUCCUUGAGUAAAACAACUUUGAUAUUACAGCUAAGCUAUGCUGCCAUUCACAUCGACCUCACUCUAGCACUAAUCUAUGAUAGCUAUCAUAAAUUUGGAAAGUCUAUAAAAUUGAGCUUUAUGAUAAGCCACGGCAAAGCUCCAUUUCAGUGCCUCCUACAGAACAUUAAUUAAUUUGUUGAGAAGUAAUUCAACCGUUAGUUUAUAUUAAUUUAUAAAUUUGCUCCUAUAUAUUUUUCGAAUAAUUUCUAGUUACUAAGUUCUUCUGUUGAAAAUUUAAUUGUUGUACACAUAAUCAUUCUCAAUUUAUGAUUAGCCUCUCAUACUGUAUUCAGAAAUGGAUGAAGAAAUUCAAUCAUUUCUUUAUAUAAUGCAAAAGAUUAGAUGAUUCCGCUUGUUGGUAAAACUAAGUUGUCCUAAUGAUAUUCUGUCCAAUUCUAGCUCUUUCUUUGCCAUAGAAACCAGGAAAGAGGAUCCUUGUGCUCCUACUAGGAGAAGGAAAUCCUCAUAAAGAUGUUUUUCCUUUGCCAGAUUAAAUGUAGUUACCUUUUUCCCCUCUCCAAGUUGAUGAAGAGGAAUGCCACUGCAAGCAUUUUGCAUAUAGAUCAAUUUCCCUUUCACUUUUCCCUUACAUUGGUAGUUUAUGAUUGUCGAUUUGUGAGGGUGGGUGGCUUAUUGUUAUUAGCAUGAGUACCUCAGUAAAUUUGGCCACAUUGGCAUUUGGUAUAUUUUUUAUUACCAGGUCUUUUUAUUCGGUUUCCAUGCUUUCUUUUGCCAAUUAAAUCUUUCAGUAGGUUUUUCAGUUGAGAUAAUGGAUUCUUCUGAUUUUCCAUAGUGGGAAGUCUUAUCUUGAGAACUUUGCUUUCGAUUCUUAUAUUUACUACUUCCUAUUGCUUUUAGUUAAAAUUUUGCAUAUUGUUUCUUCAGGCAUUUUCAUUAUCGAGUAGUCAUUAUUCCUUCUUCUGAUUUUCCAUAGUGGGAACUCUUAUCUUGAGAACUUUGCUUUCGAUUCUUAUAUUUACUACUUCCUAUUGCUUUUUGUUAAUAUUUUGCAUAUUGUUUCUUCAGGCAUUUUCAUUAUCGAGUAGUCAUUAUUCCUCUGCCAAAAAACAUUUUCUAUGAGAAUGGAUGUCUCUUGGUGGAUGCCUGCUGUCCAUGUAAGGUUGUUAAGACUACAGCUUUUGGUGCAUGCUGUCCAACAACUUUUUUCUACAAUGAAGAUUGGAUUUGUUGCCAUUUCUUUCAUGCAGAAGCCAUCUUUGAUUUCUCCUAACAAGAGAAUAGGUUAUCCAUUUCUGCUGAAACUCUUAUCUCGAUAGUUGUUCAUUCUGAAAAUUGGGUGGCUACCUCUUUUGAUGAAUUUGAAGAGAAGUGGGCUGUGGGUCGUGUCUUGUAUCUCAAUAGUAUCUAAUAGUGUUCAUUUUGGCCUGUUAAUAUGCACUAUCUGUGUUCUUUCUGUUGGUACAGAAAUUAGAGUGGCAACUGGACAUAUUAUGCUGGCAUGGAUUUCCUGAAUCAGUCAGGUCUUAAGGAUGCUUAUUAGUGACUGCCCUUCUCUGUGCUCCAUUUUUUUAUUGUGCUCUUUUUUUUUAUUUUUACCUUCGAAAAUUGGAUUGACCUAUACAUUUUCAGGGGUAGAACCUGCUUUGGCAUCAGGUGGGUUCACCUUCAUCUUGGGUGGACUGGUUGUAUCAUCUUCUGACAGUUUGCUGUUGGUGGAUUAGAGGCUAUUUGAUUGGGUUGUUAGAUGUUUGUCAGAGUCUCUUUGUCUUGUUGAUGUUCUUUGAGUAGGACUCUGAAGUUGAUUGGAGUUGCAGCCAUUGAAGUGGUGGGGUUGCACUUGCUUAACACGCACACAACUUGAACACUGUCUGUCCUUUUCUUCACUUCUCCUCCAACAUCUUACUUACUAGAUGGAUAAUGGACCCCAUAUCAUGAAUUAUUGAUCCAUUGGAAGCAAUAUUGAAGAGAUGUCUGUUAGAGUUAUGGAAGAGAAAAAAUGCUUUGCGAAUUAGUUGGAUGAAGUGUGAAUAUCUUUUGAAAGGGAAUUCUAUGGUGACUGCUUUCUCGCUCUUUCUCUUAGUUCUUUGAGGAACUAAGACUUUACAUGAUAUGCGUACAUGGCACGUGUAAUUAUUUAUUGUCAGUUUCCUAGUUUGGAUGCUGUUUGCUGGGUGACUUCAGGUCUGAUGAACUUGAAAAGAGACAUAAGAAAGUCCUUAUUUUUCCCCUUCUGGCUUCUGGUUUGGGGUUGAUCAUGAUGUCAGUCAUAUUUAUUCCCACAUAUGGUUUUCUAUGGUGCCCCUUUUGGAAGAUUCCAUGAAUUGCCUAAGAAUUUAACUUUUAUGGAGAUGAUAUAAAGUCCAAUGUGGAGGCUUUUUUAUAGCCCAGGGGACCCAAGGAGCACAAGAUGAAUAUCGCAUUCACAUAGCCAAUAUUGUCCUUGUCUUACCUUUGUCAAUGUGCCUUUGUCAUGUGCUGAUGAGGCUUUUAACACAUCAGACCAAGGGCAGAGAGAUGAAUUGCUUGUUCGCCAUAUUCAAGGUUGUCUAAAGUCCAAUGUGGAGGCUUUUUUAUAGCCCAGGGGACCCAAGGAGCACAAGAUGAAUAUCGCAUUCACAUAGCCAAUAUUGUCCUUGUCUUACCUUUGUCAAUGUGCCUUUGUCAUGUGCUGAUGAGGCUUUUAACACAUCAGACCAAGGGCAGAGAGAUGAAUUGCUUGUUCGCCAUAUUCAAGGUUGUCUGUUGUACAAGCAAACUAGGUACGUGCCCAAUGAAGAACUUUUCACUGGGGACUUGGAUGGGCUUGAAACCAGAAUCCUCUUCUACCAUGUGCUGAAAAUGUGGGCAUCCUACCAAAAACUGGAAGGGCUAAGGUUGCUCAGUUGAGGGGAGGGGGUUGAGGCUUCUCUGCUUGCAGUUGUGUUGGGGCUUAGCAAGCUGUCCAUCAUUGCUGUUCUGUACAACGCUCUGAUUACAAUGGUUUUUUGUUCCAAAGAUAGUUGCUUUUUACCAUUGCCGGGGUAAUCUCCAGUAAGACUCCAGCUGUAGACUUUCAGCUGAAUAUGUAAGGACUUGAUGCUUCUGGUCCUCUUUUUCCAGAGUUUUUUUCUCUUAGAUUCUAGUGUUCGUGAAUAAGAUGUCUAGAACUUUUCACCUGUUUCCAAAAUAAUGGUGAUUUUAAUUUGGUUAAGAUGGUCAUUGGCACUGGGGUUUUUUAUUCAGUUCUGAUCAUGAUGCAUCGUUGAUAAGUUGGACAAUGUGGAAACAUAUUGCUUUUAUAUGGAUAUGGUUUCUUUCUGGUCUUCAAUUGCUAUGGAAUUUGAUCAGGACAGAAGAUUUACUGAUUGUAGGAGUCUCUCAAUUAUUUCAGAGUCACUGUAAGAAUAAUACUCGCCUUAGUUUGGCUGGAUUGGUAGCAUUUGGUGCACUCCUCGGUGGUAAUUUGACUUGAAAUGAAUAGUUGGAUGCAGAUGGAUGAGUUUAUUACCUUCUUGGGUAAUUGCUUCAGUGGGAUAUGAGAUUAGCCAUUCUCUUUUCUUUGUUAUUUAAUUGUCAUCACCUUGAUUCCCUUGUGAUGUAAAUAAGAUUUUCACCUGAUGGAGAUGUUUUACAAAACCUGUCCUACUCAUUUCUCCCUAUCUUCUGAUGCCGUCGAAAUGGAUGGUCCUCGAAAUAGCGUAUACCAGGUGAUCUUCAGGAGUUUUGAUACCUCAUCUUGCAUGUGUUAAGCUUAUAGCUAGCGUUCCUUCUGAGCCAGGAUCAAACUCUUCUUUUGACUAUGAUUGGGCCCUGCAAUGGUAGAACCUGGUGAGCCGACCGUACUUACUUUCCAACCUUCUAUCUGUGGGCCUUCCUUCUUUUCCUUUUUUGUAAGACAUAUCAAAUUGAUGGUAAUGGAAAAAACAGGAUACGCCCUUUUAUUAAUAUUACUCUUGUCACUAAAAAUGCUUUUUCUUAUCCUCAUGAAUGGGACAAUAUCAUGUUAUUUUCUAUUGUUAUAUUAGUGCUAUUUACUUUUGUUUGUUGGAGUCAUAGGAAUCCCGUUUACUUAUAAUCAAGAAGGAAUUUAGUUGGAUAUAUUAUCUAAAUUGUUAAAUUCGUCUAUAAAGUUUUUACAUCUGAAUUCAAAUAAUUUUGUGGAUUGGUAUGAAUUUGUGACAGAUGCAAGCUUUUCUGUCGAUAGAAAAAUUCACCUACCCCAAUAACGAAAAACCUGACUUAAAUGAUCUUGCAUUCAAAUAAUUUUGUCUAUUUUUAUCUUGCCUGAGUAGAUUAUCUUGAGGUACACAUACAUUACUUUGGGCUAAACCAAAAAACGAAUAUUUUGAAAACGAGUCAAUGAUAACCCUCCAUGAAUUCGCCUAUAUAAGCCGCGGCUAAAGUUGCAAAAAUAAGAGCUUGAAUACCACAUCCAUUUAUAGUGAGUAAUGUUCCUUCUUUGGUCAUACAGAUUCCUGCCAGCCAGUAUGUUGCGGUCUCUCUGGGAAAUGCUCCCCGAGCAUGGUUAUUGUGUUCCUGUUAGAUGUGGAAGUAUUUACUUGUGUCCAGCUUCUGGUAUUAUUGACAACCUCUAUCACUGCUGAUCCCUUCUAUUUGUUCAUUAUAGUAACCUGGUUUUUGUUAUACAAUGAGUGUUCUGUAUUAAGAUUGGUACUACCUUGACCAAGUAGCCAUAUGGAAGCUCUCUAAUUCUGACCAAGAGACAAUUUCCAAAUAUUUGUCACUAUUAGUCGUUUCCCUUCCCAUUGAUUUUUUCCUUGCAAGGCCAUAUCAUUUGUGCUAUCUGCAGUCAAGUGAACGUGAGAACUAUCAGAGAUGCCAGUUACUCCUGUAGAUCUUCGUACUGAUGUAGAGGUCUUGGUGUAUCUCCAUCGCCUCCUGGGGAUCUGAAUCCAUAGCGGGGUUUUUGUUUGCCUAUGUUUUCCUUGACAGUUGGUUAAGCACGAUACAAUCUUAUCUGACUGUGAACAUGUAUUACUAUACUGUGUUGAGAUUUACUUGAACGUUCAUAUUUGGAAACAUCUUUAGGGCCCAUGAUUAUGAUGAUGGAGCCAUCAGUAGAAGCUUGAUGUUUGUAUUUGACUCCUUUCAGAAUCCCUCUCUUGAACUUGAAGUUUGAACGUAGUCAUGACUCUCUCAACUGUUCUUUCUUUCGUUGGAUGACAAGCGGGAGAAGAGGGUCAUCUUGCAGAUUCUGAAUCUGUUUAUUUGAAGAAGCCUGGAUCUUCUAUUUGCAUGCACCUCAGCUCUAGGUUCUCAUGCCGAUUUCUAAUCCAGAUCCAUUGAUCUGUGUUCCUCAGCUCCUUCAUUACUUCAUCAUCUCUUGCAAUUUUUGGGCAUUGUUGAUAAGGAAGAAACUCAAGGAUCAGGCAACUCAGACAAGAAAAGGAGGCCGAUCGAUGCUAUGAUAUCCAGCAUCAAGGCCAAAUCCCAAGGCUGAGAAUUACCAAGCAGUUGCCCACAGGGAUUUUGCUCUUACUUGUGUUAUAUAUAGUGGCGGAGCCAGGCUCAAUUGACAGGAGGUACUCUCAACGUUAGUGAACUGUCCACAAACAUUCUGCAAAUCCAUGCGUGAUGCAUGUCCUUUGUACUAAGAUGUGCUACGACACAGAUCAUUUUUCAAAUUCAUAUUUGAAAAGAGCUUCUGUGGCACAAGAACAUUUUUCAUGCAUGCGUUUUGUAAACAGAGUUGGGUCUUUCUGUCCAAAAUUUUGAUAUUAGUGCACUGGUUAUGCAACUAUCGCGCCAACCUCAGAACUGGUGAAAAAUUGCAGUGAGGAAGGCUACUCUCAGCAAUGCGGCGGCCACUGAAUUUGUUAAAGAGUGGCUGGGAGAUGGGUUGGCUACUGAGUGUAGUUGUGUCUUGAUUAAAGAACUAGCCCUCAUCCCAUCUGGAGUGGAAAAUCUGCUGCUCUGCUGAAUGCUUUUGUUUCCUUCUUGUAGUUGAGUCAACAGAAACAUCUAGAAGAUGAGAGUUGCCUUCACUGUGGCGUGGCCGGAGGAGAGUGGGACGAGACCCAAUUGUCGCUGCUCGAGUAGGGGUGGAUGUCUUGAGAUUGUUGGAAUUUGUGUUGCCAAGGGAGCCAUUGAAUCUAGACGGCUGCCAUGUAAUUCUCAGUUCAUAAUAAUAGUGUGCUCCUUUCUAUCCGUGGAUGUAGGUCAAAUUGACCGAACCACGUAAAUUUUGUGUGCA